rnacentral:rRNA from 1 species
GUACACGCUGUGACUAGCAUAUCAAUAAGCGGAGGAAAAGAAACUAACAAGGAUUCCCCUAGUAACGGCGAGUGAAGCGGGAAGAGCUCAAAUUUGAAAUCUUAAAGGGUUUCCCUUUACGAAUUGUAGUUUAAAGAAGUGUUUUCUGUUGAGGUUUUGGUAAAAGUUCUUUGGAAUAGGACAUCAUAGAGGGUGAGAAUCCCGUAUUUGACCUUUACUUUCAACUUUGUGAUACACUUUCAAAGAGUCGGAUUGUUUGGGAAUGCAGUCCAAAAUGGGUGGUAAAUUUCAUCUAAAGCUAAAUAUUGGCGAGAGACCGAUAGCGAACAAGUACCGUGAGGGAAAGAUGAAAAGAACUUUGAAAAGAGAGUUAAACAGUACGUGAAAUUGUCAAAAGGGAAGCGUUUGACACCAGUGUUGUUUUUCUGAAAAUCAACUAAAGAACUGUUUAUGCUAAGUUGUUUAGACUUUAUCAGCUAUCUGUUUAGUUUUGAGCUUUUCUUUAAUGCAGCUUUUCAGUUAACAAGUCAACAUCAAUUUCUUUUGCUGUAAAAAAGCUUGAGGAAGGUGGCUUGAGAUUCGUCUUAAGUGUUUAUAGCCUCUUGCCUAUGCAGUCGGAGAGAUUGAGGUCUGCAGCGUAGAUCCUUCGGGGCUAAAUGCAUUUGUGCUAAGUUAUAGCAUUUUAUAGACAACUUGUUGACUAGUGAUUUAGUCUUGUAGCUUACUCGCUUAUGUUAUUUUACCUACGCUUAGGAUGUUGAUAUGCAUGACUGAUAU